CACAAUCUCUAGGACUCCUCAAACAUAGCUGAAAGCCAGUGAAUAAGAUGACCUAUAAGAAAGAACACCAUUUGAAGAGAAACACGGGGAGAAAGGGACAUGAAGACAGACGCAGAGAUUGGAGCCAUGUACCUGCAGCUAAGGAAGCCAAAGUCUGCCAGCAAACCACCAGAAGAUAGAAGAGCAAGGAAGCCUUCUUCUCUGGAGUCUUCAGAGGGAGCAUAGCUAUGCCAACACCUCGAUUUUUAACUUGGGUUUCCAAAGUGGUGUGACAUUUAAGUUUCUGGUUUUCAAGUCACCUAGUGUGUGGUCCGUUAUUACAGCAGCCCUAGUGAAUCAGUGGAACCCCCCACCAAGCAACGCAGAAAACUUUUCCUACCAAAGCCUGCUCCAAUGUUUGUUCACUCCAUUCUUCUGCUCUUCUUUGCCUGGCUCCUCUCUGUAAGGCUCAGAGCCAGACUUGCAGCCGCCAUAAAAAGACCACACCUGAAUUGAAUGGGAACAUAGUCACAGAGAUUUAUAUGUUGCUGUCCCAGGUAUGUCCUAGGUAUAGGAGAAGCUGGUGGGUGAGAUCCUUUAUGAGAGCUGGGCUCUCUUCAUCCUCCAUCUCACUGCACGGGUGCUCCCCUCCAGCAGCUCUGCCGAGAGGACUCUUCUACUCCCACUUGGACUUGCCCUUGUAGUCAGUUUUUCACUUGACCAAUCCAGUCAGCCUUGAAAACCAUGGGCUCCAAGUCAUGACGAGCAUGCACCUUGUCAUCUGAGCAG
ensembl:lncRNA